rnacentral:misc_RNA from 1 species
AAGUCGUAACAAGGUAUCCGUAGGUGAACCUGCGGAAGGAUCAUUAACACGUAUCCAAGCGUUAAAACGCCCCCCGUGAACCUUCAUCCUGCUCUUGUAACCCGCGUAGUUCGCAAUCUCUGAUAGUGUCAUUGAUUGUGCAAGGAUAGCGCUGCUACGAUUCCUGUAGACCGUACACUCGGGCAAGAGCUUUGCCAAAGGGUCCCCAUGCCCCCUAAUAACCCCACAGUUUAAUGUGAAGCUCAAUGUACUACAUUGGGUAAAAAAACCGAGCAACUGUUAACAAUGGAUAUCUUGGUUCUC